GCUGGCAGCCGUGGCGUUGUUGCAUCUGUGUCAGCUCUCUGCUGGUUCUGGACAAGGGAGAAGAUUGUAAGUGCCUGCUGUGAAAUGCUGGUUAUAUUUACAUCCUUUAAAAAGCCGUUAUAUCCAAAGCUAUUGACUUGACACAGUUCAAGAAGUUUUGAGUGUUUCCCUAACAGUUCCAGGCUAGCUCACCCUGCUCUUCAUGACCCUUUGCCUGUCGUUUACAGCUCAGAUCAGAGUUGAGCUCAAAUGUAAGCUGUGUGUUCUCUUCUUGCUAGAAGGGCUUCUGGACGAGAUCAGUAAAUGCAGGGACAUUCAUUUGGAUCAUGACUUAUAAGGUCCACUUUUGAGGUGGCCUAAUUUUAUACUAUGAAAGAAUUAGUAGAUAUGAAAUAUAGUGCAUCUCUUCUAUAAGAGGCUUGUUAGCCAUCAAAACAGCAGACAGAAUGCUGAUUGUAUUGUAAUGGUUCUCUAGUUAUUUAAACAUUUAACUGGAUCUGUGAGUCUGUAAGCACUGGCAUACACUUAUUAAGGCUCUAUGUACUGCUGGUGUAGUUAUUUCAAAUGGCUAUAUACAUAUUUCAGAGUUUAGCUGAAACAAUCUUAGAUGGAUCUUUUCCCACCCCUCCCUUUAUAUACUCAAACACCAUAUGGAGUUUAGCUUUGAAGAGAAUAAUUCUCAUUUCCUUUCAUAUCAAACAUGUGCACACUAUUGUCAUAAACAAUACGCCAAUCGUGUUAUGAAAGUCGCUUAUUGCUGUCUAUGGCAGCUGGGCUCUGUAAAUUAUAAAUGGUUUUACUUAAAAGCAGUAUUUCUGAGACAUUUAUGUGCAUUAGGCUCGCCUGAGAGGCUUCUGAAACACUGACUAUUUUGAUGCCGUAGAUUGAGGGCGGAGUCGAACUUCAGUUUCAAGAAACCCCUGGUUGAUGCUGGUCUUGCAGGUCAUGGCUUUCCAGUUGGGAACUCUGGCGGUGAUUCCUUGCCACAGUAUUCUCAACAGUCCUUGCUUUACUAACUGACAUAUAGCCAGUAACAGUCUUGCAAAUGCAGAAAGUAACUUCUGGCAAUUACAGAAAGAAACAUCGUUUUUAAAAGUAGCAGACAGGAACAGCAGCUCCUGAGUGAGUGCAUCCCAGGGAGAUGGUUCUGACCCUGCACUUCUGCAGUAGUUUACAUUUUUCUUGAUUAUCUCGGAAAAUCUAUUUAACAUUGACUAUAAGGAGUGAUUCCUCUAACACAAACACUUGGGGUCACUCCUGCCUCUUCCCUGAGUCCCCCAGAAGGCUCAUGUGUGUUUUAACAGAUACACUCAGGAAUGUCAGAACCCAAGAAUGAAGUUGUCAUCAGUGGCAGUGACAUUUUCUUUAAAAGCUUUUUGUCUCAUCAUUGCUGUGAUUGUGGAAGCUGCCUGCAGAAGGUUAAGUACCAUCUCACGGACAUCCCUCUGAAGCUGCUUUCUUGAAAGAAAGGCUACCAAAACACUAGCACUGCUUGCUAGUGACUCCUGGGGGGAUCUAGAAAAAGAUGGCCAAGGAAUUACUGAUGGCUGAUAAAGUAAUUAUCUGCACAUAGCUCGCACCAACUUGAGAAUCAGAGAAAAAUAGGGAAGGGGCCUAUAGCAGGUACAGUCAGGGAGGACCCUCUUGCUCCUCAUUGCCACAAACACCUGCCUUAAACCCCAGGGCUCCAAUCCCUGGCCUUCUGCCAGACCUUAAAUGGGAUUAUCAUAUUCAGAGUGCACCCCACUCCUGUUUACAGCAUCUAGACCUGUAGUCUCCAUGCCCCAAAUUCUGCUAAUCCCAUUCUCUAACAGGCCCCUGGCUCAUGCCCACCCACAGUUCACUUUACAAGGAGGAGUCAUGCCAAGCAGUGCAGUAUUUCUGAAUCACACCUUUGACACUUCUUUCUUUCAAGCCCCUCAGCUUUACCAGGAGGGCCAUGAUUUAUUUUUGCAGGCAAAACAAGAGAUCACAGACACUCGCUAAUCCUUUAAUGCUACAUUCGCAGAGAAUAAGAUAUCCAUUAAUGACUAAUGGUGUUGCUACUUUUAGAAAUGGCCUUCCUUUGUGCCUGUCAAGCUUUUUCUCGCCCACCUGUUAGUGAAUAUGGACUUGCUUGGGAGCAUGGCAUCUCCCCAUUGUCUUUCUUGUUGGAGAGAAAGCUACAUAGAAAAUCGGGUAGUAUAGAAGCCAUUUUCUUUUUUUUUUUUUUCCAUUUUUUAUUAGGUAUUUAGCUCAUUUACAUUUCCAAUGCUAUACCAAAAGUCCCCCUUACCCACCCACCCCCACUCCCCUACCCACCCACUCCCCCCCUUUGGCCCUGGCGUUCCCCUGUACCGGGGCACACAAAGUCUGCGUGUCCAAUGGGCCUCUCUUUCCAGUGAUGGCCGACUAGGCCAUCUUUUGAUACAUAUGCAGCUAGAGUCAAGAGCUCAGGGGUACUGGUUAGUUCAUAAUGUUGUUCCACCUAUAGGGUUGAAGAUCCCUUUAGCUCCUUGGGUACUUUCUCUAGCUCCUCCAUUGGGAGCCCUGUGAUCCAUCCAUUAGCUGACUGUGAGCAUCCACUUCUGUGUUUGCUAGGCCCCGGCAUAGUCUCACAAGAGACAGCUACGUCUGGGUCCUUUCAGUAAAAUCUUGCUAGUGUAUGCAAUGGUGUCAGCAUUUGGAAGCUGAUUAUGGGGUGGAUCCCUGGAUAUGGCAGUCUCUACAUGGUCCAUCCUUUCAUCUCAGCUCCAUACUUUGUUUCUGUAACUCCUUCCAUGGGUGUUUUGUUCCCACUUCUAAGGAGGGGCAUAGUGUCCACACUUCAGUCUUCAUUUUUCUUGAGUUUCAUGUGUUUAGGAAAUUGUAUCUUAUAUCGUGGGUAUCCUAGGUUUUGGGCUAGUAUCCACUUAUCAGUGAGUACAUAUUGUGUGAGUUCCUUUGUGAUUGUGUUACCUCACUCAGGAUGAUGCUCUCCAGGUCCAUCCAUUUGGCUAGGAAUUAGAAGCCAUUUUCUGAGGGAAGGCAAUCUCUUGCUACUGCCACACUGCUGUAAAUCGUUGUGGUUAGAUUACUUAAAUACAUAUAAAGAGAAAAUGGGACUGAAGUCCUGUGUGGGACCACCAUACAUCAAAUAAAACCUUAGUCUUUACAAAGUUAGACACAAACAAAAUGACAAGCCCACUGCAUUCCAGUGAACUGUGUUAACAUGGCCAAUAAUAUAGUGUACUUUAUUAGUGCAUUGUGACCCCAAAAAAUUGAUACACUGGGUGCACACCUGCUACUGUUGAGUCGAGGAAGUGCUGAUGCCUUUCAUCCAUCCCUUUCUCCUGAUUCCUUCAGUGCUCUUGUGAAUUUGUGGCCCACAAUCGUUGACUGAAAUUUCAUAUUGAUAAAUCAUUUAUGACAUCACCUGGUUUUUCACUAUCAUUAAGUUGAGACAUUUCCUGGUGUCUUUCUGUUUGUAAAGCUAAAUUCAGACAGCAACUUGUUUUUAACGUGCCUGCAAGGUGAUCUAGAAUAUGCCUACGUGAACUUAAAGAAGCAAUCAUUCUGAUGGAAAUAUGAAAUUUUCUCCAGUGGGUAAUGUACAGGUGCUUGUCGACUGACUAAAUGUCACCAAAGUUUGCAAUGGUUAUAUGUUGAACUUUGCUAUGCAAAUCUCUGUAUUCCGGAGGAAUGGAGGCAUUGCUAAUAAUCUGAAAUGUACUUCUCAGAUUUUCUUUGUUCAGUUGAAAAAGGCCAUCUAGAGAAUUCAUUGCUCAAAACAAUUUGAUAGAUCUCAUAGCCAGAGGUGUAGAUGCAACAUAGGAAAUAUAUUAAAAGUGUCACAAUUGGGAACACUUUCCCAGCUCUUUGUAUUGUAUGUACGGUUAUGUCUCAAAAUGCACUCAUGCCGCUUUUUUAAGUGCGUCCAUGGGUGAAUUCGUGCCUAUGUGCAUGCCUUAGUCACUUUCCCUUUAUUACUGUUCAGUUUUGUGCAUGUUCAUUCUGCCAGUGUUUCCCUGCAUGCCUGACUGUAUCUGCACAUGUGCUGGUUCCCAGGUACAUACUAAAGUCAUGGUAGACUGCCUUUUAGUCUUUUUAUGUCCUUGGUAACAUUUUUACUUUUUACAUUAGAUGCAUGCUAAGUAGGUAGACCCUAAUCUCUCUUCUAUAGGAAUAAUUAGACUUAGAUUUACCAUAAUGUUAAGAUGCAUCCCACUUAGUCUAGCGAUUUUGAAGGUUUAGGCAUGGCCAGUGGUUCAUUAAUCCUGUAUUUCCCUGACUAAGAUGGGAAUUUCUUUUGUUGGCUGGUGUGUUUUGGUUGGCCAAGACCCCUGUGCCUGAUGAAGCAUAUAUGACAUAUUUCCAUCCUUCUCUGUGCUCUGGAAGACAUUACCAGUUGCCUACCUACCCAGUACCCACUCUCUUUUUUCCAUUAUGGAGUAAAUCCUCGUUUUACUCAGAUCGGUAAGUGACGGACUCAACAUUUCGGUUUCUUAGAUUAAGUGUGACUCAUGUGACAGUUAUAACUACUAAACAUCGUAAGCAUCCGGGCAGGUGGGACUUCCUGUAGAGCUAGUUUUUUUUUUUUUCCCCUGAUUUGGGAGUCGGGAGGAUGGAGAAUCCUGUGAUGGAGGCUCUCUCUAGCACAUCUGAAUUAUAAGGGUUCUUGGGUUUGCUCUUUAGUGGUUCCCCCACCCCCACCCCCACCAGAUCUUAGCUAGGUGCUCUAGGUUGGGCUUUACUUGUAAAGCCUGAAGGGAAAAAGUCACGUGGAAGUGUUUCCAGUCAUAACUUGCCCAGCCUGGCUCCUUGUUGAGUUGGAAAAAGUCAGUCUGUUGUUUAAGUUGCUAUUUUGAGAUUUCUUUUUCAAGCACCUGGACACUAGGUUGGUUGGAUAUAAGGAAUUGUGUACAGAAGAGCUCAGAGAGAAGCCCUGCUCGCCUCCUCACCUCCACCUCAUUCCCUGUCUCUUCCCCAUUGCCUGUCCUCCUCUCACCUGCUCCUCUUCCUUUUUAAAGACACAAUCUUAUGUAUCCCAGGCUAACCUCAAACUCACUAUGUAUGACUGUUCAGGCUCCACUUAGACUCUUGACAUUUCUGUCUACAUUAGGUAAGCGCCCCCUCCCCACCCCAUCCCCCAGGGAGCUAGCAGUAGGACCCAUAAUUGUAACUGACAAAGAUAGACUGUAGUCUAGGGCUGAAACAACUUCUAUUGGAGCGAGUAGUAAAAGGCUUGAUUCUCAAUCCAUGGAAUUCAGCCCAAGGAGUAGCUGGGAGUGAAUCCCUGAGAGGAUUGUGGGAACCAUGGUGUUAACUCUCCUUGCUUCCUGUCCUCCAGGUAGUGAAUUGCUGUUCACCUACACAAUGUAGGCUUUUCUUAAAGUAGGGCAUGGUGAGAGGUUGAGACAAGGUCUCAUGUAUCCCAGGCUGAUCUCAAACUAAGUGGGUAGCCAGUGAUGAUUUUGAACAUGUCAGCCACCUGCCUUUACCUUCCAAAUAUUGGGCAUGUGCUGCCAGGCCCAACUUAUGUAAGUGCUGGGAACAGAACCCAGGGUUUUCACAUGCUUGGCAAGAACUCUACCAAAUGAGCUACGCCUGCAGCUCUCUCUGUACAGCAUCGCCUUUGUACAGAGCAAACCUCUUUACAAGCUGAUAUCUGAGGAAUUUGUUUCACUACUGCCAAGCUGCCACAUAGGCUGGGUUGUAGAACAGUUGUCAAAUUUAGGGUGUGCAAAGAGAACCCAAAGUACUCUUCCCAUCUCACCAUGAAUAGUAUUAAAGGUUUAUUUUUCAAAGUGGGGACUGUUCCCAGAACUGACUGGGAAGGAGGGCUAUAACCCUCAGCAAAUGAAUCCACUACAACGACCUCUCCCAGGUAUGCCGAUCUCAUAGGAAUUUUGAUCUUAAAGGAGUGCCUAAUCACUGUUUAAUCUGGUUGCACCAGGUAUACAGGUGAACCUUGUGGCUUUUUGGUGUUACAAGUUCUGCAACUGUUAUAUCUUGUUGGUGAAGAGUGUCCUAGUUAGGGUUUCUAUUGGUAUGACAAAACACCAUGACUGAAGGAAACUUGAGAAGACAGGGAUUGUUUGGCUUAUACUUCAAGGUAACAGUCCAUCAUUGAGGGAAGGCAAGGUAGGAACCUGGAGGCAGGAGCUGAUACAAAGGCCAUGGAAGAGUGCCACUUACUGGCUUACACCCCAUAGCUUGCUCAGCCUGCUUUCUUAUAGUAUCCAGGACCACCAGAGGUUUAGCACUGCCCACAGUGAGAAGGGCCCUCCCACAUCAGAACACUCGCCAGUUGAUGUCUGUGUAACUGACUUAUCCAAAUUGGGAACACAAAGUAUUUGGGCUAUCGAAAAGAAAAUCGUGGGCCUCUAGCAUGAGCUAGUCACUAACAUCUGUUCAUCGUAAGCUGUGAGGGAGCUACUAUCAUCACCAGACACAGCUCAUCCCAUUUGGAGUUCACCUUGAUUAAAUCGUUUUAUUAAGCCACAGUCUUGUUUUUUGUGAUACUAUCCCUGUACUUCCUGCAUCGUUUUUGACAGCACAAAGUUUCUUUUCGUACAAGUUACACGGUCCCGUGUAGGACAUUUGGGAGGGCUCCGACUAGUAACAGAGGCCUGCUGUUCGGUAAGCUAUGGUCAGUAAUCUUCUUUAUUUACUUGGGGACACCGUGCAAUCUACAUUUGCAUUCAGAUACUGAACUCCAAGGCAGCUCCAGUGGACAUUUGCUUACUGUCAUCGUGAAAUCAUUUGCCACCAAAAAUGCAUUGUCCUCAAAUAUAAUUGAAAUAAAGCAGGAACUAUGCUGUUACAAACCUAAAUGCAGGAAAAUAGUAGGCUAGACUCCCUGAGCUUGCCUAGGAUGUCUUAAUGGAAGCAUAAAUACCAUAAUCAUGUGCUUUUUGCAUGCAUUUUACCACCAAGGGAAAAAUGCCAGUUUUAAAAGGAAAGACCUUUGUGAACUUAUUUCUCCCUCCCCACUAAAACUGGAAUCCUAUUGAGUGAAAAAGAAGUCUGGUAGACACAGAACAAAACUAAUUUUCUGAGAUACAGGCAGUUAUUAAACGUGCGCCCUUUGGAAAAUGUUGGGUCAUAUAACACAAUCGCAUUUGCUAUUCAAAAAGUCAAAUACUGCUUCACCUUCGCUCACUGUUAUUUAUCUCUGCUUUUCCUGAAAUGUGAGAUGGUAGUCUUGGAAGGGGUUGAAAACUACCAGUGAGUCUAUAGGGACCUUCACUGUCCUGUGUGCCAUCAGACCUGGGCCUGUGCCUACAGAGGGUCUGUGCCUAUGGCCACCUGUUUCUUUUUAACUCUGGCUGCUCAUUUAGUUCUGACCUGUGCCCAUGCUCUCCACUGUACCACUCUCUCAGGCUCCUCCUCAGUUCUGGGGACAGAACCUACCCACACCUGCACCUGACUUGUUCCUGCUACUUGGUUGCUGAAGGUUAGCAGCCCUCGUUCCCAGUCAGCUCUGGGAAACUAAUGUCUUAGACUGUUACCAGCAUCUUAGUCUUCUGGGAAUGGAACCUUUUAUCUGUAGCACAUGGCAGGCAGUGCCUGCGAGUUUGCCAAGCUAAGGAAUUCAGAGUCUCUUUCCCUUCUAUAGCACUGCUUCAGUGGCCAUUAGGAGUCUCUCAGCACUCUCCUUGCCUUCUGUGUCUGCAGUCUUAUUCUUGACAAGUCCAUACUUCAGCCACUACCUGGGGUUUUGAACCUAAAAUAAAAUCUGACUAUGUCUUGUCUUUAUUUGAGGUUAUUUUUCUAUAGCUUGUACCCAAGAUAUACAAGCUGCCCUUAGCAUGGGGAAUUGGCUUCCCCAGCUUCUGGGUUCAGGCUCCUCUUCUGUUAUAUCACAUUGGUUCACGUCUCUUUGCUAACUUAUUAUCUCUACCUGACCUCUUUGGUCCCAGAAUAAUGACUCUGAGACUUAAUUGUUUAUGGAUAAAUGCAUAGGCCAUAAGCUUGGGCUUGUUCCACCAACAAGCUCAUAGCUCAUAACUUAUAUAACCCAUUUAUUCUAGUCUAUGUCUGCCACAUGGUUGGUUACCUCUCCUCAACUUCAUGAGUCCAACUUCCUCAUUCAGGGAAAAUCUCCCACUCUUGACUCUUUCUCAGAAUCUCCUCCCUCCCCACCCCCUCUGCUGGAUAUUCCACCUUUUAUUUCCUGCCUCUGCUAAUAGGCCUUCAACUUUUUAUUGAAAGGUGAUGCUUCCACACAUUACUUAAGAAAUUCUCUCUACAAUUGAAAGUGUAAAAGUAUAAACCUAAUAACACCAGGUACAUAGGCCAGCUAUGUGGCUUUUUAGUGGUGCAAGUUCUGCAGUGGCUACAAUUUGGGGAAGAAGAGUGUCCUAGUUAGAGUUUCUGUUGGUAUGAUAACACCAUGACUGAAGGAAACUUGGGAGGAAAGGGAUUAUUUGGCUUAUAGUUUCAAGUAACAGUCCAUCAUUGCUGAGGGAAGUUAAGCCAGGAACCUGGAGGCCAGAGCUGAUGCAGAGGCCAUGGAGGAGUGCAGCUUCCUGGUUGCCCUCAUGGCUUACUCAGCCUGCUUUCUUACAUAACUCAGCGCCAUCAUCCCAGGGGUGGCACUGCCCACAGUGAGCUGGGCCCUCCCACAGUCACCAUUUGAGACAUGACCACCAGUUUACCAUUGGCUAGUCUGGUGGGGAAAUUAUCUCAAUUGUGGUUCCCUCUUUAAAAUGACUCUCACCUGUGUCAAGCUGACCUGAAACUAGCCAGCGCACAAAAUGAGCAGCUCCCAUUCAACCAAGCUGUCGAUUACAGCUAGAGAUCCUGCAAUUAAAAUAAAGGCUGAGGUGACACAACCAGUUCAACAAAUGAAACUGUGGCAGUAAUGAAGCCAUAAAUAAGGUCAUGGCUAAUCUUAAAGACAUUUUGUUUAAUUCUUUUUGUUGAUUAACGUUGCCCGAAACCACAAUUUGUUUGUAGAAGUAAUCUGGGGUGGGGGUGGGGGUUGUUUAUUUAUAUAUUUAUUUCUGCCUUAGGGAACACUUUCAUAUUCUACAGAAAUGUGAGGCUAAAUGAAAAAAACUAUUUUAGACUUUGGUAAUCAUCAGUAAAUUGCCCCCAGCAGAGUGUACUCAUUCAGUCUUAAUGUCUUUCUUGUCACAGGGCCCUGAACUUGUGGGCCUUUGAUGAGCUAUCUUUGCUGCUGUGGCCGAAAUCUACUUCAUUUGUGUGGCACGGUGUUUUAUUUUAGUGUCUUGCACAUCUUAGUACCCCACUUUCCAUUCACUGUGGUACACUAAGCCAUCUUUCUCUUCCUGGCUACCCCAUUUCCCCAUCCCUUCUACAAUCCAAACUCAAGGCUUUAAGUGCCAAUCUUACUGGUAUUUAGUGAUCUUGGGCUGCUGUCAUUUCCUCUUUUGCUCCUGCAUAAGGAUGGAAUAUCAGUCUCUUAUUAAUAUAAAUUCAUGAGGAUUUAUGUGGAGCCCUGUGGUGAGACGCAUUUUCAGCUUCUUGGGAGACUUUAUCGAGCCCUGAAUCCACAAUCCAUUUUUAAAUUAACUCCCCAGAUGUUCCAGGGCCCUUCCUUGGGCUCUGAAGUCCUCCCAUAGAUGUUUGAUUGCCCCAUGUUUCCAUCUUCAUUCUUUCCUUUUCCAUGUUCUCUUCACUGCUCAAUUCUAUGUAUCUGCAAUAAUAGCACUAAUUGGUCUAAAAAGAGGUUUUUCUUUUCUAAUCAAAGAAUUAGCUGGAUUAUCCUUUCACCCAGCUGUAUACAUGAAGAUAUGGAAAGAAAGGAACUUCCUACAUUGUUACAGGACAGAUAGAUAGAAUAGACUGCCUAGAUUGUUACAGGACCUAAAGAUACAUUUUGAUACAUUAUAUAAAACAGAUUCAAAUGUUAAAAGAAUAAAUGUAUGUUAGUGUACAGAAAUGUUCCUAUUCUUUUUUGAGACAUCGACUUAUGUAGUUCCAGGUGACCUUAAACUAGCUUUGUAGCCAUGGAUGACCUUGAACUCCUGUACCUCCUGCCCCUACCUCCCAAUUGCUAGGAACACAUUCACUACUUUGUCUAGUUUAUGAGGUGGGGGGGGGGAUCAAACCCAGGCCUUUGUACAUGCUAGAUGAAGGCCCUUUACUAACUGGGUUACCCCUCCAACCCCAGAAAUAUAUGUUCACACAGUCAACAUUUUUAAACAGAAUUUUGUGUAUGGCUUUGCCUUUCAUAAUCAUUUUUAUCCCUCAGUCUUUAAAUGAGCUGUGUUACUGAGUCCUCAGGGACAUAGCAGUGUUUCCCUACUGUGAUGGUUUAUUGGUUGUCAACUCAACAGGAUCUAGAAUCACUCCCCAGACAAAUCUCUGGGCAUGUCUGUGAGAGAUUAUCUAGAUUAGGUUAAAUGGGCAGGGAAGACCCGAGGUAAAUGUGGUUGAUGCCAUAGCCUGCUUCAGUAGCAGAUACGUUCAAAGGAAGAUCAAACAGAUCCUUCUUUGCUUCCUGAUUGUGGUACAGUGUAACUAUGUCCAAGGCUCCGGCUGCCAUUAGAGCCACACAUGGCAGACUGCCCUCUUAAACACUGAGCCUAAAUGAGCCCCUCCUUCUUUAAGCUGCUUUUCUUUUCUUUUUUUUUUUUUUUUUUUUUUUUUUACUCAUAGCAAACUACACUAAAAUAACUAAUACCUAAAUAAAAUACCUGAGGAUCAUGGAAUUGUCUCCAGAGGAAUUCCUUUUGGAGAGAGGGGUGGCUUUUUAGAUUUAAGUACGCAUACAAACCGUAUGUGUAUAGGGCUUACACACAAAUUCUCAUUUCUCCAUUUACUUUUGCUGGCAUUCGUGAGGAUCUCACCAGAGAAACCUGCUAGUCUUGUGCAGCUCAGGGGCAGGUAACCUCACUAGGACAUGGAUCCUCUCUGAGCUUGGUGCAAACCCAAAGGAAAAGACAACCACGUGUGACUCAAAACAAAACUGUAAACAGCACAAAUGAUAUAAAAGUACUAGGUUUCUGACAGGGUAAGUUUCCCUGGGCCAUUGUGACUCUAGGCUCAAGUCCCUGACUGCUGAAGUUGAGAGGUCGCAUAAGUUUAAACAUUGACUUUGUAGCAGAAACUGAAGCUGACCAAGGACAAACAGACUGGUUUCCAAUGAUCCUUUUGUCUCCUUCUCUCCUUUAUCCUGUACAUUUAAGCUCUGGGAUGAUUUAAAGGCUUCAGUGCUUUGAACAAGCCCGAACUCUAGGGCUUAGCUGAGAAUUCCUGGAGAUCCAGGCAGCUCCUAAAAUGCUAUUCUGUCAUGGCCUCGUGCCAAUAAUUACGGAUAGUGAUGUGGACAGCAAUGAAUAAGAACCGAAAAAUAACUACAUGAUUCAUGUAUGUUGAAGAUAAUAGAGGAUGUUUUUGAGGAUGCAUUUGAAAUGGCAUGAGAGAAACUUGAGUGUAAGGAUGAGUAGAUUUGUAUCCUUGCAUAGAAAUGCAUACUUUGAAUAAGUGUCUUUCAACUGAACCUUCAGUAUUUGGUUUUGCUGCCCUCCCCAUCAGCCUUCCCCCCUAAUUCCUUAGUAUAUCCAGACUGCCUUCUAAGUUCUCUCCCCGUUAAGUUGGACCACAGGGUUCAGUGUGAUGAUAUGAGAUGUGAUACUAAACAAGUUGACCCAGUGGCAGAAGCCUGCCUUUCUAAGAGGUUGUGAUGCCUGGGCUGUGUCCUCAGUGGAAGAGAGCUGUUCUGUAUAUGGGAAUUGGACUGAGUUUUGAAUGGAAGGUAUAUAAUUAAAGUGGAAAAUUCAGACCUUCCUGGUGUGUGUCAGGUUUCCAUGUCUGUGACAGAUAAACAGAUCGUCAGGUUAAAACGAGAAGAGGUUGAUUUGGCUCUCAGUUUUUGAAGCUUCAGAUAGUAACUGGGGAGACCUAGUGCUUUUAGGUCUUUGUGAGAGACCCUCACCUCCUGUCAGGAGGGCAAGGAUAACCACACUACUCAUAGCUGGGUGUGGAGCAAUAGGAAAGGGCUAAAGGUUGUCUUGGUGUCACCUUCUAAGACAAACUCCCAGAGAGCAGACCCCACUCUGAGAGAUUCCAGUACUUCCCAGCAACACCAUAGGCUGAGGAUCAAGCCUUGUAAGAUGUCCCUUGGGUGACACUCACCCAAACUGAUCAGCUAGGCUGACUGGCUAGUGAGGUCCAGGGAUCCUCCUGUAUCCACCUUCCCAGUCCAGGCAUGCAGUUCCCUCUACCAUAUCCACAUUUUAUAUGGGUGCUGGGGAUCUGAACUCAGGUCUGACAAGCACAUUACCAGCUGAAUUACUGUCCCUUUCCUCUUCCUCCUCUUCUUUGUUCUCAUUUCUUCUCCUCAACCCAUUCUUCCUCCACCGUCACAACUACCAGUACUUCCUCCUCCUCCUCCUCCACCUUCUUCUUUUUCCAGCUUUUAUUUUAUAGAACAGUGGUUUGAAUCGCACAAUAGUGUUAACCUUGUUGAUGGACAGGUUUGAUAUCCAACACCCUGCCCUGUUUGUAACUGAUCAGGAUGUGAGCUAAUUUUUUAAAAGGGUAAAUGGCUCUCUGGUUAUUUACUGAGAUUUCCUUUACAGCUAGUAUCCCUUCCUGACUUUCAUGUCUCGUCAAUUCUUGAAAAACCUUUAAUAGUCAAGGACGACCAGUGCUACACACGCAUAUGCCUGUGGGUUGCAAGAAGUUAUGCUCCCAAAGUGCAGAAAUUAUGAUUAAAUUAAUGUUGCCACUUUCUGCAGACACUACCAUGGGAGGAUGCAGGGCUGACACACAUGGAAGCCAUCCAUCCCUGCCUUCUCCUCAGCACUGUAGGGAUCCGCAUGUGCAGCUCUGCAGUAUCCUUCUCAGGCACACAUUUCCCUCUUGGCUCUUUCUGGAUCUUUCCCAUGCUUGCCCAUUUUGACUGUUCAAGUCUCAAGUUUUCUGUUUGGAUUUCUGCUGGAAAGCCUCCAUGACCCACAGUGGGCAGAAGGGCAGUGGGUGAAGUUGCCAGGGAGACAAGGCAGGUGACAAGCUGGUGGGCCUUCAAAUUCUGGGGUCACAAGAAUUCAUCCCUUGAGAAAGCCAAAGCCCAAGCGUUUUGACAGAAAAUGCAACUUUCUCUAGAGCGCUCACCUGGAACAUGAUUGUCUGUCUGAGAGGGGCCAUCUCUGUGGCCACAGCAGCAUUGCAAGGGGGGUGGAGGGUGGGAGGCAGAGCCAGAAAGCAUUGUCUCAGGAAAUGCAAAUGAUUUCCAACUGUGUGCUUGCCCACUCCUUGUCCACCUUCCCUACAUUGCAUUUCCUGCUAAUAUUUUGCCAUCACACCAUGCACGUGACUUUGUUCCAUGGUUUAUCAUGUCCAAUCUGAGUUAAGUUUCAAAUAAAGCAGGGGGUUUUAAAUGUCUGCUUUGUUCAUUGUUAUAUUCCAAUAUUUAUAUGGCAUUCAUGUAUAUUUAUAUAAAUUAAGAAAUGUGGGUCAGUGAGCUGGCUUUGAAGAUUAAAAGCUGACAAGACUGAUGACCUGAGUUCAAUCUCCAGGACCUACAGAUAGAAGGAAAGAACUGAUCCUGACCUCAGCAUGUCCACCAUGGUACACACACACACACACACACACACACACACACACACGCACUCACAUGCACACACACUCACACACAUGCACACACCUGCACGCACACGCACACACUGAGACAGAUCUCUUCUUAUGACAGCUUCUGUAGUCCGUCUGCAUAUAACCACAAAGGGUCUUUUUUAGAAACAUAAACAUUUUAAUUGUUAAAGUCACUUUAUAUAUGUGCCUGCCUACAAUCUUAGCUACUCAUAAAACUGAGACAGGAGGGUCUCUAAAGCUCACAAGUUGGAAAUCAGUCUGAAAAACAUAGCAAAAACCCUUUUGCUUGUCAGGAGUUAAAUUCGUAGCCCUUGUUGGCUGUGGGGAGCUCAUCUCAUUGGCAGGAGACCAGAUGUGAUGCUCAACCAUGUGAUAUGAUGUGGUAUGCUGUUGGUACUGACUCCCACAGGCCAGGUGUGACAGGGUGUGUUCAUUGGCCUGUGGUGACAUUGGGAAUUGGGGGACAUUAGAUUUGGGGCAUACUCUUCCACUCUCUUCUCCCAGGAUUCCAUGAGCUGGUCUAGUCUCCUCUACUCUGUGCUCUUGCUAUGGUGAGCUCACAAGCCCAAAGGGCAUGGCCAAGGUUUCAUUGAGAUGAACCUUUCUACCUCAUAAAUGGGUUCUCUGAGGCUUUGAGUCACAGUGACGGCAAGCUGUCCAUUAAGGUGGACAGCCACCGCCGUCAUCACCGGCAGCACAUCUUCAUGUCUUCAUUCUUGAGUCCUAAGGACAUUUAGAAGCAAAAUCAUUGGCUGGGUUGAUUGCUUUUGUCUGUGUUAUAUAUGGUAGCUCUGUGCAUAUUUUUAGCAUCUUUCCUGUGUAAAUGCUUGUUUUAGAUUUCUCUGCUUUGAGUUUUGCUGAGACAAUUGAUGUCUGCUGCUCUGUACCAGCGUUGAAAUACUCGUUGCUGUGGACAGUUGAUUGAUCUCUGUGAUUAGGAAGCAACAUAAUCUGCAGUAAUUAGGUAUAGUCUUGAAGUUUAAUAGCCUACAAUUAAUAUCCGAUACAGGAGGCUCAGGUGCACAGAAUUUGGUGUUAUAGGAUGCCAGCAAAGGCUGCAAGAUGGGCUGAGCUGUUUCUCCUGAACCUUGCAAUGCUUCCUGCAUGCAAGACUUGCUUGAGCCUCUUCAUCAGAUCCCUCUUGGCAGUGUGGAGUGAGUGUUAGCUCUACAGUCUAGCUAAAUAGUAUCAGUGUUGUGAAUGCCUUGUGCUCAUAUAUGACAAUUACUGCAAAUAAUAUUGAGUGUUAAUAACUAGGUAAUAACCUAUUAUAGAUCCUUUUAUUUUUCCUGAAAAAACAGGAAGGGUUCUGGCUUGGACACAACACAUGACAUAUGAGAAGACCACACUUUAUUCUCAUAACUAUGUCUUUACUGCCACACUGGGUCCGCUCGUGUGGGUGGGUUCAGCUGCCUUUCGUGCCUUUAAAUUAGCCCCAGAACAAGCUAAACACCCGUCAAGGACUAAAUUAAUAGAUUUGGGUUGUUUUAAUUAGCUAGGUGUGAUUUAAAGGUUGCUGAAAUCAAAAAGGCUUAUUCAUUUUUCAUCAAUAAUCAUUUGCCUUAAUAUUUCAUUAGAACCUGCUGGCUUGCUGGCUUCCUUCUGGGCUUUGAUUCAUUGUGACUGCAGAUAGCAUGUGCUCUCCCUUUCCUCAUUCUGUACCAUAUACUUUCAUCUCCAAGACACUGUCAAGAUGUUUCCAACAUUCGCCACUAAUUGAGCAUACUUUAAAAAAAAAUGUACUAAAGUUAAGAAUUCUAGGCGCGCGCUCUCUCUCUCUCUGUCUCUUUAUCGUGUGUGUAUGUGUGUGAAUACAUGCAUGCACACACACACACACACACACACACACACACACGUGCUUCGGGAAUUUCUUCUCAUCAUUUGAAUGGCUAAUAAUGUUUACAUUUUUCAUUUCAUAUGUCUUGAGAGUCAAGGCCAAGUCCUUUGUCAUAAGUGUCAGGAGGGACUCGUGUUUGAACCUCACCAUCAUUGGAAAAGAACAAAGCAUCUCGUGUGUGACACUUUGGGUGACACCUCACCCAGCACACGUGCCUGGCCUCAUGAGCAGCUAGCUUGCCCAUGUCCACUCCGGUUGGAGCAGCUGUGCUGGCACCUUCCGAGAACUGUGGUGACACAGGGAAGCUGAGAGAUGGGUCUCAGAGUACAGAUGUCUGUAUAGAGCUGAACUUUCUUCUAGAGUCAGGUGAUCCUGUGAACAGUGCACUCAGAAACAGGGACAGGACAUCUAGGCUAGGGGGAAUCUAGCAGAGAUUGCUUAAAGCCCCAGAUUUCAAGUACUUUUCAUAAAGCUCGUGGAUAGUAAUGUCUCAUGUUUGCUGAGAGCUACUAACCUAAAAUGUAGAAUCACAGUGUAGACUGAGGCUCUGUCUAACACUGACAGUAAGAACAAGAAAAUAAAUAGGCAAGAAAAUAAAUACAUGGACACUUUCCAUUUCCUCCAGACUGACUGUGAAAUACACCGUGUUUUUACAGCUAUGCUGACCAGUUUGUGUGAAGAUUAUUAAUGGCCUACUGUACCAGACAAUGCUGCUAAGUAAGAAUUGCAAACUGUCCAGAAAUAAAGAUUUGUAUCUUUCAAUUUUUGAUAAAUGCAUUCAAAAGCAAAUAUAUUUACUAAUCUGUUACCCUUUUUUAAAAAAAAUUUAUUUAAUUCACAGAUAAUUGAAUAUUGGUCUACCUAUAUUAAGAAUUAUGUUCCAGCCAGGCAGUAGUGACACACGCCUUUAAUCCCAACACUUGGAGGCAGAGGCAAGCGGAUUUCUGAGUUCGAGGCCAGCCUGGUCUACUUAGUGAGUUCCAGGACAGCCAGGGCUACACAGAGAAACACUGUCUUGAAAAACCAAAAUUAAAAAAAAAAAUUCUAUUCUAAAAGUGUGUCUUAAAAAUUUACCUUUAAGUCUAGCACUCAGGAGGCAGAAGCGGAUAGAUCUCCAUGAGUUCAAGGCCAGCCAGGUCUACAUAGUGUCUAAAAUAAAAAAGGAACCUGGCUGAGAUGAGAUCGCUGGUGAAUUUGCUUGCCUUGCAAAUAAGGAUUUAAGUUUCACCUCUAGCACCCACACAGAAGCCAGGUGUGUUGUGUAUGCCUUUGUAAUCCCAUCACGGGGGAGAUGAAGACAGAGGAUCCCCGUGACUCCCUGACUGGCCAGCCUAGUCUCCACCAGCGCCAGACCAGUGAGAGGCCCAAUCUAAAAAAAAAAAAAAAAAAGGUAAAGAGUGUCUCAGGUUGACCUCUGGCCUCCCCAGGAAUGCCCACAAGAACAUGUGCACCUGCAUACACAUAUGCAUACAACACAAAGUCAAGGAGGACCAGCACACAUACACUUGCUGCUUAGACUGAGGACCACCAGCAGACAAAUAUACACUCGCUGCUUAGACUGAGGAAGAUGGUUCUCUUACUGGCUGUACUCUCUGUAAAACAGAAAAUUCUUUGUUCUUAUUGUAUUAGAGUCAUAUGACUUGCUUUGUAUGACUAGGUAUGUUGUAAUCAUUUUAUUCUUCUGAUACUGUUUGGGAUUCCUGGAAGAAGCUGUAAGGCAGUUUACAAAGUGCCCUUUAUUGGGCCUGGCCUUUACCCCUAGGACCCCCUCUGCCGGCCUUUCCCACUUUAUUGGGCCUGGCCUUUACCCCUAGGACCCCCUCUGCCUGCCUUUCCCACUUCCAGAACAGCAAGGCGUGAGCUCUACCAAAAGUGGCUUUAGAUUCGGAUCCAGCUCUGCCCCCCCCCCUUUCUUUUGGUUGUUUGGCAAGUUCUUGACCUCUGUGGGCCCUGUUAUAAUCAUCUCUCUUUCUCCUCUCCCGUCCCAUUGUUGGAGCAUAUGUCAGCUGUGUCCUGCUUUUUAUAUUUAGAAAAUCUGGUCUUUCUAAGCAUGCAUUGUGACCACACGGGAAGCUAGCAGACUGAAAGAAGUACAGACCGUCAUUCUGAUGGUAGCAGUCUUCCAGUCUUCUGGGAGAACAACAGACGGACUUAAAUAACACAACCGGUUUUAUUGACCAUGCUGUUUAUUUUAAUAGCUGGGCCAGAAUGGUUUGAUUGACUUUUUAAAAAUCUGGUAUGUGUUUUGCCAUAUGGACAAAGCCGUAUCUGAAGUGCCAAGCUAAUAAGCCUUCUCUUCCCUGCCAGUGAGCCAUGGAAGUUGUUAGCAAAAUGUUUUAUCUUGAAUGGAUCCAUUUUCCAAGAACUUGGUAAUAGAAGCACCCAUCUUAAGGGAUAAAGUGCAGAUUGUCUUCCAUCAGUCAUGGAGAAUUUGUUGCAUGGGCGAACCAUACACAAGCCCCAUGUGCAGUAGUUGGAGUUUGCCUACUGUUUCCCCAUAUUUGCUCAUGCCUGAACUUGCAAUGUUCUCUUACUUAUUCCCAGGUUAAUUGUUAAGGACUAAAGCAGGCUCAUGAGGAUUUCUGCAGGGCUAUCUGCAUACGUUGCCUCGGAUUGGUUCAUCUGCAGUCACAUGACCAUCCUUGUAUUCUAGGUUUAUAGCAUACCCCCCCUCACUGUGGUCUUAUUUUUUUCUCUCUACACUGUAGAGUGGAAGAGACCACAGGAUUGGAACUUUCAGUAAUGGCCAGGUGUGCCUCAUGACUCCUUUCUUCAGGGGAAAUAAUCCCAUGGAUGUCUAAGCUUUGGAAAACGGUUGGUUCCUGUGUUUUCUUUUGUUUUCUAGCUUUCUACACUGGCAAGUUAAUUCUGGACCACUUCAUCCUCUCGUUGCCAGACAUGGUAAUGCCUUCAAAUGUUUUGAGUGGUUCUUCUGCCAAAGACUUCUUUCAUCUGUUUACUUCAUUCUUAUCCACGUUUCCCCCUAGCAAAUGGUUCCAAGGCCUAACUUUUACAUUUGUCAAAUCUGCAUCUUUCUUCCUCAACAUUCACCCUUCGGUACCCCCUUCUCUUUUGCUGUAUUGUGUUUCCCUGGCCAUCGUUGCUGUCUCACCCUUUGGAGGUUUAUUUGCCUCCUUCAUACCCACUGCUCUAAAGUACUGAUUCUUUUUGUCUCUUCUUCCUGUCACUUCGACAUGGCAGAAAUUGCAUGUAGUAGUUGAUCCAUUCAUUGCAAGCUGCAGACCUGACUUCCAGUGUAGCUCUCUCCAAACACACCCUAAAUUCAGAAGGAAGUUACUUCUUUAUUGUGUGACUAUGGUGGCUCCUGUGUCCCUUCUCCCUGGAUUCUUACCAGCCUCCCUCAUCUCUUUUCUCUUCUUCCUCCUCCUUCCUUCACCCCCUGCCUAGUGAUGACGUUUCACAGAAUAUGUCUCUGAUAUUUCUCCCUGAGUUUUGCCGCCGUUACCUUUUCCUUAUCUGGUGUAAUAUAGUAUGUUAGUGCCACUAUUGGCCACCUAUGAGCCUGCUCAAACAGGCCAAUCAGCACUACCUUCCGGAGUCUAGCUAGGUGGAUAUUCAACAGAAAGGUUGCAGAAGCAAAUCCAUUUUGUCUUGCUUGGUAUUCUUACCUCAUGGUCUUAGGUCUCAUCCAGUUUCCUUAUUCCUUGCUGUUUCCUACCUCAGGCUGUGUUGAGAGUUUGCCUGCCCCUUGCUGAUGCACAGUGCUCUGCUGUAGGCCUGUCUUCCCUCUUACUUAAAUUUCAUCCUUCAGUGCUUGUGUCUGCACACUGAGGAUCCACUUUACCAUCUAUAAAUCCAGAGCAGUUGGUCUUUCUUCUGAAUGUCCUUAGUAUGUGCACUGAAUGAUUUAAUAGUCCUUAUACCCUCGCUUAUAAUGACUUAAAUUUUCCCUGAUUUUUCUUCAGUAGUGUUGGGGAAUCCUCAGACUUUUCCUAAGGUCUGGUUUUACUUCUAGAAUGCAGUCUUGGGCCUAAAGAACAGUGUAAAUGAUAAGUUUCCUUCAAGGAAAGGAUAGCUCAUCAGAAGGAGAUGAGGAUACAGGCUCCCUCGGAGCCUUUUGAGUAGUUUGAAUAGUUCAAAGGUGGGUAUAUAAAGAUGAACAGGAAAAAUAACUCUUUAAUGGCAGGUUGCUUUGUAAAGAUCCUUUUUUAAUGAAAUGUGACCUCAGUCAAUAGAGAUGAUUUCCUUCCAAGACUGUGAUGUAUGGCAUGAAUCAGAAUAGAUCCUUUGAUGAACCAUUGCUAGACUAUGAUGUUUUCUGUGACUUUUCCUAAAAAAGUAGCCAAAUAUGGAAGCAAUUGGGGCUAAGGAUGUAGCUCAGUUGGUUGAAUGCUUACUUAGCAUGCAGGUAGCCUGGGCUUCAGUCACUAGGACCACAUAAACCAACAUGACAGCACACAUAUGUAAUCCUAGCAGGUAGGACAUGGAGGUAGGAGAAGCAACAGUUCUAUGCCAUCCUGAUCUAUCAGACCUUGUAUCAAACAAACAAGCAAAAAAAUACAUUCUAAUGAUGGGCAUUGCAGUGGUUUAAAUAUGCUUGGCCCAGGAAGUGGCACUAUUUGGAGGUAUGGCCUUGUUGGAGGAAGUGUGUCACUGUGGGUGUGGGUUUUAAGCUGCCUGGAAGCCAACUUCUAGUGGAGAAUGAAGUUGUAAAACUGAACUCCUCCUGCAUCAUGGCUGCCUGGACACUGCCAUACUCCUGACAAUGGACUGAACCUCUGAACCUAUAAGCCAGCCCCACUGACUGUUGUCCUUGGUGUCUGUUCACAGUAGUAAAACCCUAACUAAGACAGGCAUGAAUGUGUUAGAGGAGGGGAUCUGAUAUAUCUUUCUCUUGACACUAUUGGUUUCAUGCCCAGAUAUCAAAAGGAAACGGUGCAGGUAUUUGAAGACCCUGGAAGGUUCAUGACCUUCUUGUCUCUCUUCCUAUGCUGAUGCCAGGCACUGUGUUUAACCAGACACAACAUUUUGCUGAUUUCCUUGAAAUGUUUCCUAAGAAGCACAUUAUCCCUUAAUCAGCUUCUUUUGAGCUAUCUGUUUAUACUAAACAAAGUCUUAUUCCAAUUAGUUUUAGAUUCUAAGCAGAAGCAUGGGUAAUUAAACAUUGUGUGAAGGAGUACCCUGUCACAGGGCUCUAAUAUCAAGUUCAGGUGCAGAAGAAACAAAUGUUAAGGUUUAUUAAUGUGGUUUUCAAUUGAUUGUCUUAAUUGGUUAGCUAUGCACAUACCGUGACCCAGGAGUUCAAACUUCAUCAUGAUGUGAACUUGGGACAGUGUGUUAGAGACUCUUCCUGUUGGUCUGAAAAAAGACCCGAAAAGAGCAACUUAGGAAGAGUUUUCAUUGACUCAUAGCUUGAGGGUGUGGCUUGUCACCAUGGGAACGCCCUGGUGUAACCAUCCUCCAGGCAGCUGGGGAUGCUGUUUCUGCAGCCAGGAAGCAGAGAGCCAUGACUGCAGUACAUGGCUCACUCUUUCCUUCUUCUUCAGUCUGGAUUGAGCCUGUAAGGAUGAUGCAGCCACCCACGUUUGUACUGGAUCAUCUCACUUCAGUUAACCCAAUUUAGAUAAUCCCUCACAGACAUACAUGCCCAGAGAUUUGUUUCUAUGGUGAUUCUAAAUCCUGACAAGUUGCCAAUAAAGAUUUAACUAUCAUAGGCACCAAGUGUGUCUUCCCUCUGUAAAACAAGAUACCAUAUUCAAAUGGACAGGAUAGAGGUUUUGUAGGAUAAAAGGGAAUUGUAAGUAAAAUGUAGAGUGGCAACUGCUUAGGGAGGCAUAAUUGCCUCUAAUUGUGGAGCAGGGCAAGCCCUCCAGACAGAAUCUGCCUCAGCAUAGGUUUUAGAAUCUUUGGAAUGUGUGCGCUUCUGCGGGACUCCUGAAAGAGCCUGGUUAGGGGUAGAGACAUUAUGAUUACCAUCAAAUUCUUACAAUAAAGAGAUCAGAACUCAGUGUGUGUAGGAUAGUUACUUAGAUAAACAUUCUGUGUUUUUUUUUUUAACAGUGAGAAAUUUUAGACAAACUCUUGGAGAUUAUUUGGAGUGAAAUUUAAUCUAAAUAUACUGCUGGCUGAGGUAGACAAGAAAAUGAAGUAAUCUCCAAUCCUGGCCCAUAGACAGUGCAGUUGGCACAUGUUGCACGUGUCUGGUGGUGAUUGACACUCUCUGAGUCUUAUGUGGAUGAUGUGGUUGUCAGCUACUGAGAACAUUUCAAGGGUGGGCAGCCAGUCCAGGAGCUACUGUUAAUAUUAAUUGUUGAAAGAAUUUAUUUCAUAAUGUUCAUGAUCUGUUGCAGUAAUAAAAUAGAUUAUUUUUAGAUUCCUAAUAUUAAAUUGUUUUCUCACUAGAAAAUUAUAAUUGGCUUUGUGUGUGUAGCACAAAUUUUAAAUAUUUGAUGUUAUUAGUAACACCAAUGUAAUGGGAAUUAACAAGAUAGAAAUGCAAAUGUAUUCUGUUUCUUUCAGUGUGGCUGCAGAGGGAGAAUUGUUUCUGCAGAUUCCUUUGAAUGUGUGUGCUUUUUCAGAAUGCACCUUAGGAUUUUGAUGGGUAUUUCAUUGCUUUUGCAUUGAUGGAUUAUUGGGUUUUGUUAAAUUUGAUUUUCCUAAAAUAUCCGGAUUCAUAGAUUUCUGCCUUGAAUUAGGAAGUGUGCACCUUACAGCUCCUAAAGUCACAGGACAGAGCUGGGAGAUAUACAGGUGGCUAUUAUCGUUGCCACCAUCUGUGUUUGGGACAUGAAAGCUGUAUCCCUCUGCCUUAAGUCUUGAAUAAAGUCCCCAGUGAUCAUCAAUAGCCUUCUUUACAAAUUCCUAAAGAGGGAUAUAAAGAUAGUUAGGAAAGGAAGAUAUACUGAUCAACUUACAUGUCAAAAGGAUGCUUCAACUCCCCUCCCCACCCCACCCCCCUCUGCCAGAUGAGGUCCCUCCAAUGGUCACCCAGGUUAGAUGGUUACACUGUCUUUUUCCAGGACCUCUGGCAUGCGUGAUAUGAAUUCACCUUAGUGCUUGUGGCAUACCAGUUUUGUGCCUGUGCCCUGGAUUUAGGUAAUGUCUUGUUUUGUUUUCUGAGAUAAGGUUUCAUCUAUUCCAAACUGUCCUCAAACUUGAUAUGUAGCUGAGGACCUUGAACUUCUCCAACCCAAUGCUGGGAUUACAGGUGUACCCACAUAGGUCAGGCUUAUUCUACACUGGGAGUCAAAGAAGGUUCCAUGUGUGCUAGGUAAGCUCUCUACCAAUGGAACUUUAUCUCCAAUAGGUUUAUGUUUUGGUUACAAAUUAUACCCAGCUAUGGGUCUUUCUUGGACUUAAAGAAUAAUGAUUCAAAGACACUUAAGGGCACCACACUUAGAUAUAUAUGAACAGAAGUUCCACAGACGUGACUGUCUCUAUGUGAUGAGCUUGUAUGAUUUGAAUGUUAACUGUUACUUUUGUUUUUUUUUCUUAAAGCAAUAAGUAAUUAUUGAAAAACCAUAAACUUAUGAAAAACCGGGCAUGAUUUGAGCUACACAUAUAGCGUUAGUACUUGGAGUCAGCUGGAUAAAGAGUAUAUUGUAUAUCUAGUAAGGCUGGCUCUCCUGGGCACCACAUUUCUUUGUAUGGCCAUACCCACCAUUGCUUCUACUGAGAACCCAGUGAAGACACUCUAGCUGUGACAUCUAGGUGUGAAGCAACUUCUUCUUGUGCCAGGACCACGUCCUUUUCCCACCUGAACCUCCAUCCUCCUCAUCUUGCUGCCCUGGCCAGCUGAUGCCCCAGACUGUAUCUGUGUCACAUCCCUGUGAUGCACAGUAGGUAUAGGUAGCUAUCAGCUCCUUUGCCUGUCCUGUGUGUCUGGCUCCUGCCCCUGCCCUCUAUCUGGUAUUGUAGCAUGAUAUAUUUACUGACUCUCAGAGAAUCCUGCUGUGGGUCUGGAGGCAGCACAUACUCCUAGUUUGCCACUGAGGUAGAUAGUCUCACCUUAAAACAAAAUAGGCCUCUCGUGGAGAGGAUUCUGCUUUUUGUUUUUGAAGCACCUCUUCCUGUAAAUCCCUUUCUUUAUAGGCAGCACUGUUUAAAAGCUGCGUGGGGCCAGAGAGAGGGUCUAGUGGGUUAAGAAGCACUGUGGCCAGCAAGAUGGAUCAGUGUGUAAUGGUACUUGCCACCAAGCCUGAAAACUUGAGUUUGUUCCCAGGAUCCAUGUGGCAGAAGGAGCAAACGGAUACCCUCAAGUGCCAUCUAACCUUCAUAAACAUGCAUGUACACACACACACACACACAUAAUGUUUGUGUGUGUGUGCAAUAAUAAAAAUAUACGAAAACUGUCAGUAUGAAAUUUGCUACAGAUUCUUUUUAGGUGCCUUCUAGAACCUUCUCUUUUGAUUAUAUGUGUCAAGUUUCUGGAAAUCAUGACUACUGAAUUACCGUGUGUGUGUGUGUGUGUGUGUGUGUGUGUGUGUGUGUGUGUGUGUGUGUGUGUAUAGACGUGCCACCAUGCCCAGCUACUGACUGACGUGGGCGCUAUAGAUUAAAUUGAAGCUCUCAUGUGUGUGCAGCAAGCAUUUGUUCACUCUGCUAUCUCUGCAGCUCCAGCAUGUAUUAAUAUAAUUUUUGACUAAAUGUUAAAAAUGGUCUUAGUAGUGAAAUAAUACGUUUUUUUUUCCGAAAAAAUAGAAAAGGAAUAUAUCAGCCAACCCCAAAACAAUAACAAUAUUGUAUUCUUGGUGAUGAUGGUGUUUAUCUGUAGUCCUAGACUGGGGGAGACAGGUAGAUUCCUGUGUCUUACUGGCUAGUCAACUGAGCCUAAUCUUAAAGCUCAGGGUUCAGUGAGAGACCCCGUGGAGGCUGAUUAAAGAAGACACCCAUGAGCACUGACAUGUGUGCUUGCUUGUGUGUAAUAAACAAACAAAAUACAUAAAAUAAGUAAACAAACAAAAGUACAUUUAAAGAGACCAUUUCUUCCCUCGUCACUGUUUCUCAGAGGAAAAACCACCGAAAGCUGUCAGCACUGCCUUUUUUCAAAGCUACUUUCUUCUGUCUGCUGUAGUCAGAAAACAUCACUAGGUUCCAGCUUCUUUGUCUUGAGCUCCAUCAAGGGUUGUGGACUCGGGUAUGGGAGUUAUUCAGCCCUCCUGACCUUUGCAUUGUCUGCAUGGAGCCGGCUGUUUAAAAAGACAACAGAAAAGCCAGGCCGUCCUUCAUUAGCUAGAGAAGAUCCCAAACAAAUGAAAACCCAGGAGAGCCUUGUUGAGUCUGAAUGUGAUGGUCUAUGAGGCACACCUCGAGUUCUGAGAGGGAGCACACUUAUAGCUUUAAUGACUCAUUUGGGAUUUUACACUCUGUUGCCAGAGCCAGUUAUCAACAGCUUUGAUUAGAAAUUGGGAAAGCCGGUUGCUGAGAGGCAGAGCGGAGAGAAUUGUAUUGGAUUAGAGAGGCAUUGUUUUGGACUGAAAGAGAAGGGAGACAUCUCGGGAAGCAUCUGAAUAUGCAUUUAUUGUAAUAACCGUGGUCGAGGUGGAGUGCAGUGCUUCGUUAUUAAAUUAAGUGUCUUUGUUCGUUCGUCUGGAUCCUCCUGUUGGCAGCAACCCCCUUUCCUCCUCAUUUAGGUCCAUUUUGAUGCAGUGUUACAUCCUGAUUUGUGGGUUGAAAUAUGUCAGUAUUCAUAAACCAAAUUCAUGAACCAUCCUUCAAAUUAUUUGGGCUGAUGAGACAUCAUUUACUGGUAUGAAGCCAACCCAGGAGAGGCCUGUGAAAUAAUGCAUUCAAAUGCUACCUCUAAAAAAUAUCGGUCUUUAUUCCCAGUCCUGUAUGUAGGGAGAAGCUCUACUUUAAGCCUUAUUAUUUUAACAAUGUGACGUGGGAUUAUAACGUACACCAGAGCAGCGUGCUCCGUGCUUGAGUACCUCCGAAUCUGGACACUAAGUGCGCUUCCUGUGUUCUGAGUUUUUAUCGUUAAACUGUGUCAAGAAGAUAUGCUCCGUGCCUUGGGGAAACCGUGAGGUAUGGCGUGGAAAUUUACACGUGGCCACAUCUUCCUAACUAUAGCUGAGUUUGUUAGUAGGCAGUAUUUUUACAAAAUACCCCGCUCUCACUCAGAGCAUUCCUAGUAUCGUCUGUAUUUAUAGUCUUACAUUUACGCUAAUGUACUAAGAAAUUCAUCAAACACUGUCUCCGUGGGCUCUGGCUUCCAAGCUGAAUCCGAGAAUUUCCUCCUGGUUAUUUAACUAUAAGCAGGGUGAUGCUUAAACAAAACAAAGAUAACAUUCUGUACCUACACAAUAGAUCAGAACAGCUUCUUUCAUCUCCACUUUGGGCCAUCUGUCUGAAAAGAAAGUAAAAGCCCUCAGGAAGCAAACCGGCAGUCUGUGGUUAAGUUUCAAGGCACAGGCUCUUUCCCACAGCCCAGCGAUGUGCCUGAGCACCGUAAUGGGUUUGUGUUGUCUGGGAGGAGCUGCGUGGCUUGACCUCGGCAUCUGUCGGUUAGAGCUGUUGGGUUCUCACUAGGAAUUUUUAAAUUCUGGCUGAAGAGGAUUAAAUUUAUUGCUAUUUAAACAUCAAGCUUAAUAACUAUUGGGAAUACUAUUUUCCAACAGCUAAAUUAGUCUUAGUUUUCAAAUGUUCCUAUGAACCAUAAUUCUUCCUGUUCUUACACUAGUGUGCGUGUGUGUGUGUGUGUGUGUGUGUGUGUGCGCGCGCGUGUGUGUAAAUGUGCAUGAAUCUGCAUGUAGAGGCCAGAGGACAGCCUCAACUCUUGUUCAUCUGGAUGUUAUCAAAUUUAGGGGUCACAGCCUGUGUCUCAAGUCAUGCCUAUCCACUAUCCUCAAUAGACGAAUUAAAAGAGCCAAGUUAAAAUGGAAAGCAGGAAAGGGGCAUGCAUUCAGCAUGGUCACUUUGGGAAGAAGGACAGCAGCAUCCAGUGAAUCCCCUAAGUCUUUUGGGGUCUUGAAUCAAGAUUAAAGCUUAAAAAGAGGUACAAGGAUACGAAUGUCUAAGCAGCCAGCCCCAGUCAAGGUGGUCUCACCCAUACUGUCUGGGCUUUAUCUGUAAGGUGGUCUGACAAGUUGCUAGAAGCCUGUGAAAUUGCUUUCAGAAGAAAAGUUCCCCUCUGGCCACUGCCUUUUCCUUCUCCCAGCAAGCGAUUCCUGGAGAUAUGCCCAUUUCUUUGGGAUCUAUUGUUUCAACAAUCUGAUAGUCAGAUUGAGAGACACAAGUGUCUCUUUAGAAUAUCCUCAUUUCUGCCAGGAUAGUUACAUGCACAGCUGUCUGCCUUAAUGGCGUUUUUUGUUCUAUUUGUUUGGUAGGUUUGGGUUUUGAUUAUGCUUGUGGAUGUGCCUGAGUAUGUGUGUUCAUGCCUGAGUGUGUCUGCACUCGCUUAUGUGUGUAUGUGUGCAUGUGUAUGUGCUUGUGUGCAUUCACAUGUAUGUGAGCAUGCAUGUGUGUGCAUCUGUAUGUGUGUGAAUGCAUGCAUGUGUGUGCGUAUGUGUGUUUAUGCCUGAAUGUGACUGCAUGUAUGUGUGUGCACUCACUUGUGUACAUGCAUGUGCAUAUUUGCGUGUGUGUGUAUGUGUAUAUGCUUGUGUGCAUUCACAUGUGUGUGUGUAUGUGUGUGUGCAUGGGUAUGGACAUGCGUGUGUGUUUUAUAAGGAGAUUGAGGAAGCAGUCCUGAGUUGGGAAGGUUGCUGAGAUAGAAGUCUUCUGAAGUGACUUCCGGGUGUGGGACUCCUUGUAACUGAACUCUCUCCCUGCCCACUGACACCUCCUAUUGUAAAGCAGGAGAGCAACACACAGUAACAUCUGUCAUCCUAGAAGCCAUUGGGACCAACUGGAGAAAGGGUCUGAUGAAGUGAAGAAGUGGUGAACUAUUUCAGCCCCAGGUCAUUUCUUGGGCCACCCAACACUAGAGUGUUGGCAAUGGCUUGAGCAACUUGAACAUCUGCUAGUUCAGUGCUCUACAUCCUGGGUUAUCACUCCUGUGAACAAGUGCUGUGAGACACUUGAUAUCAGUCUUUGUACAACACCAAACAGGAAAACAACCCAACCACAAAGUGUUUCCGGUGUUCUCAAAGGAAGGGAAUGUUUUUCAUAAUGAAAUUAAAUGUUUCUGGCUACCCAGUAUGUUCCCAUUGCCUAUAUUCCCUUAGGGUAUUACCUGUUCUUCAUAAUCACUGUCAGUACCCUGUACUGACAAUAAUAUCAAUGAUCAGGCAGCUGUGGAACAGGUAGGGGGAUGCAGGUGUGCAGUAAAUGUAAAUCUCAGCGUGGGGGAGCUAAAACAGUGUGUGAGGUAGUUUUCCAAGAUAGUUUUCCAUUACUGUUAGUUACCAAGGAAAAAUCAACUUAUAAAGCGAGAAGAUGGGUUUACUUCCAUUGCUUUCAGGUCUGUGGCAGAAUGGCUAUCAUGGCAAAAUGCACAGCCCAGUGGGAAGUGUGUGGCAGAGCAGAACUGCUCCACACAUGGUAAAGGCAAGAGUUAUUUGCUGCAGAGCCCUAUUUGCCUUUACAGCGUUACGCCCAGUGAUCUGGGAUUCCUCUGCCACCACCUUCAAGUGAACAGGCUUCCACCCACAUUGAACUUGGGGUAAGUUUUUAACACAUAAGCCUUUCACACUUUCCAGCCUAGAUGAGAGGAGCUUCCAGCUUUAGUUGGUUGCUGUUGUGUUGCUGAAUGAUGGAAGUCUGGAUUGCAGAGGUUAGGCAUCAGCCUUCUAAUAAGCACUGUCCCAGAUCUCUUGGUCUCUGCAUCAUAGAUUAUUCAUAUUAGAGCCACCACAGACCCCAAAACUGGCUUCAGUUUAAGAGAUGAUAGAUCCUGUAUGCUCUCCAGGAACUGGCUAGCUCUUCUUCCAGUGCCUUUCCACGAGGCAGUCUUCUUCAUUGAUUGUCUCCGUUGAUACCAGUAAGAGUGUAUGAAUGCUCUUAUGCUCAUUGUCUGUCUGUCUAUAUAUGUGUAUUUCUAUCUGUCUGUCUUCUUUCUGUAUCUGUCUCUGUGUGUCUGUCUUCUCUCUCUCUCUCUCUCUCUCUCUCUCCCUCCCUCCCUCCCUCCCUCCCUCCCUCUCUCCUUCUCUCCCUCCCUCCCUCUGUGUCUGUCUGUCUGUCUGUCUGUCAGCCUUGUCUGUUCUGUCUUGUGCAUUUUUCUCUCUCUCUGGAGGGUUACUGGGAUCAAAUCCAAGGCCUCAUGUCCUAAGAAUGUAUUCAACUACUGUACUACAUGCCCUCAACCCUAUAGGUACAUAGGAUAUAUAGAGAGGGUAUAGUGUAUACAGAAGUGUUUUACGUACCCCCACAAAAAUAUUUUUUACUACUAUAUAGUCAUAUUCUUCUUCUUUUUUUUUUUUUCAGAACAACUCAAGAUCACUUGCUCCUAUGUAAAGUAUAUACAAUGUGCAGGGCCAAUUAUAUUAGAAUCUUCACUCCCAUGAACACCCACUCCUGACUCUGUUCAGACCUGUGAGGCCAUUAGUUGGAGCUCCCGGAGACCUGAUUUCAUGCCAGUCACAUCACACAGACACAUGCUUGUUUAUGUUAGUCAUUAAAUCUCAAUAAGUAAACAGCAGCAAUAGUUAACGUGGCUCUUUAUAAAUGCAUAGUCAGUUGGGAAACAAAGAAAAGCAAGUUACUCAUGAAUAGUGAUCAACUUUAUGUAUUACCAGCACUCCCAAAAUACCUACAAAUAAGGGCAGACCUUACGGGGGGCAAACACUUUGAAUGAGGUUGUUCUAAAAGAUUUUGAACAAUGGCCAGUCUCAGUCCCUGCCCUACAGCUCUCAGAAACCUAUCCACAGCCCAUGGAAAGCUCAUGGCACCAAGUUGUUCUGUGCAGCAGCAAUGCUGGGCUGGCCUCAAGUCUCCCCUUCUCCCUCCUUUUUCCUUCCUUGGCCUGUACUUCCAGGGAACCCUGCUUUGCAUCCCAACCUUGGAACUGAUUAAAAGAAUGUUUACAGUUGGGCAGCCUAGCCAUCGUGUCUUUUAAAAGAGAGCAAGAAGAUAGCAAAACCUCAGGAAUCCACAGUAAGUGGGAGAAACACCCACCGGGUUAGUGUUCCGAGUUGUAGAGUCUUCAAAAGAAUAACAGUAAUUUAAUCACUCUCAGACUCCUCAAGUCCUUGGAGAAAUUAUCUAGUUUAAUUGAAAAGGAAAAUUUACAAAUAGCACAAAAGUUGUUGAGGAAAAACAGUGUUUUCAGAAGGGCUGUCACAGACUGGUAUUUUGAAGUAGCUUUCUCUCUGGAGGCUGGUUAUAAUACCAAUUUGCCUAUAACAUCUUUCAUUACAGCAAAUAAAAUGAUGCAUGGUGUUUUUUCCAAAUGAUCUAUGGUGUGUAAAAACCAUCCAUUAACCUGAGGACCAGAGUUGGCUCCCUGGCAGAACACUUGGUUGUACACCUGAGACUCUGGGGUCAAUCCCCAGAAGCCAUCUACAAAGCUGUGUGUGGAGCUAUAUACUUGUAAUCCCAGCAUUGAGGAGGCAGAGACAGGGGGAUCUCUGGGACUAUGUAGUGAGACACUUAGUUUGAAAACCAAAA